AUGCGGAGGGUCACGGAGUACGGGGCGGUGGAGAACGGCAAGACGCUCAACACGGCGGCGUUCGCCAGGGCGGUGGCGGACCUGGGCAGGCACGCGGGUGACCGCGGCGUGGCGCUGGUGGUGCCGGCGGGGCGGUGGCUCACGGGGCCCUUCAACCUCACCAGCCACUUCACCCUCUUCCUCCACCACGACGCUGAGAUCCUCGCAUCCCAGGUGCGCCCCUCUUCUUCAGUUACCCAUGGGAUUAAUUAG
rnacentral:rRNA from 1 species